AGUAACACUGGAAAGAGCGACGUCGUUUCCGCUUCCAAAUAGUUUGGAAACUACAAGGGAAUGAAUAUGAAACGAGUCAAGGCCUAGUACGGGUUUCAUAUACUGUCAAGGAUCAAAGGACAAGUGAAAGUCAAAUUAGGUGACCAAAAAUGGUUUCAACUUUCAUGACUUAUUAAAAAUUAAGAAAUUUUCACAAAAGUGGAUGAAAUUUUUUUUGCUCUCAUCGUUUGGAUAAAUGAGAGUUGGUUUUCACGUUUUCCCUUUUGAAACAUUUUGUGACUGAAAUACCCUUAAUAGAAUCAACCAAUCGCACAGUUGCAGUUGGUUUUGGUUUAGUUUUUUUUGCAGUUUGGUUUUGCGAAAAAAAAAAAAAAAACUGAAACGAAGAAAACGAGAAAGAGACGGAGAGAUCCGAGAGAAAAGUAGAAAUAAUUUCGAAAUUCAUUCAUCCACUCCUUCAUUUUUCGACAUUACCGUUCAAAUUGUUGGGUAAUUGAUUUGAGGCAUCCUAUUGAACUUUAAAAUUGAGAAACAAAUUUCAUGUUUUCAGAGAUGAACAAAAUACAAAAAAAACCAAAAAUUCAAACACUUUAGCUUUUAAAACUAAAAAUACUCUAGGUUUACAAGAUUUAUUUGUAAAAAGUAUUCAAAAUGAAAAAAAAAAUGAGAUUUUGAAAAAACUGGUAAAGACGGCCGCAAAAUUAGGUUUGCAAAAAAGGAUACAGAGGUUGAAGAUGACUGAAAAAUUACAGUUAUAACCUUCAUCGAAUUUCUUUUGUGUACGUAUAUUCAAUUUACAAUGUACGUACACGAACUUAUUUAGUGGAACGUAUAUGGUACGAUUUCUAAUAACUUAAGCUAU
rnacentral:sRNA from 1 species